UACAGAGGGUGCAAGCGUUGUUCGGAAUUAUUGGGCGUAAAGCGCGUGUAGGCGGCCUGGCAAGUCGGGUGUGAAAGCCCUCAGCUCAACUGAGGAAGUGCGCCCGAAACUGCUUGGCUUGAGUGCCGGAGAGGGUGGCGGAAUUCCCCAAGUAGAGGUGAAAUUCGUAGAUAUCAGGAGGAACACCGAUGGCGAAGGCAGGUCUCUGGGCUGACACUGACGCUCAUGCACGAAAGCGUGGGGAGCAAACAGG
rnacentral:rRNA from 1 species